UAGCCAAGUGGUUAAGGCUAUGGAUCGCCAAUCCGGAGACGGCGGGUUUGAUUCCCGU
rnacentral:tRNA from 1 species